UUUCCCUCAGGUCUUCCCCUGUCGACGUAAUUUCCUUUUUUCUUUGUUACGAAGAAGGUUUCUCCCUCCAGCUGAGACCACCUUCCUCAAAUCAGAAUCGUGCGUGCGGUUGCCGUCAAAACAAAAAACCGUGCCUGCCAUUUGGGGUUUCUUCGUUCGGUGAAGUCGGGGUGUCGCUGGCGAGCGGCUGCACUGGGAUAGCGGCCGGCAGCGAUUGGCGAGCGGCUGCAGGCUGCAGCUGGGAUUGUGGCAUGCCUAUGCGGUGGCGGCGGUGACGGCUGGGGAAGGAGCACUCAGCGGCGGCGCGCGAGAGCAGACGUGGGGCGAGGCAGCUGGCUGGCUGGCUACGCGUUUGGCCGGCUCGAGCCUAGGCUGCACCGGCGGCGGUGGUGGUUUGGGCGGCGGCUUCGACGACGACUGGGGCCUGAGCGAGGAGCAGCUCGACAAGCUCGAGCGGGACCUCGCCGCUUCCCAAUCCCGCCUUCUCGCCGGCGACGAGGGUCUCAUGUUCCUGCCUCCUCGUGAAGUUUCAUGAGUGCAUUGAUGGCCCGUGAAUCCUCCACCUUUCUCGUUCCUCUGUUCCACCGCAUUCAGAUCCAGGCGCAACAGAAAAUAGGGGGAGAAGAGGGACAACGUGGAUCGAUGGGGGCCGGAGCCUGGGACGCGACAGCCGGCGUCAGAGCGGCGGUCGGUGCCUCGGACGCGGUCGGCCACGGCGGUCGGGCGGUGCCUGAGACUCAAACGGGGUCAGAAUGGAGCGUCGAUGCGGCAGUCCGGCGCGAAGCCAUGGCUUGGGCGCGGCGGCCGGCGGGACAGAAGCAUGUUGCGACGGCAUCCAGCAGCCAUGAAGUCAUUAGCAAUUACCAAAGGAUUGAUGCAUAUUGCUCACUAGGCCGGCUUAGGCAGGUGUCGUGAGCAUAAUUGAGGUACUUGAGGCUGCAUGCCACUAACAACUAUAGAUGUUCUCCGAAGCAUGGCCUGGUCGGCACAGGCAAGACCAUGCUCACCGAGGUCAACCUGGGCCACGCCGGCGUGGCCUUUAUCAAAGCUCCGAACUGAUGCAUGGGCACUCUGUCAAGGAGCUGAAUGGUGGGUGAGGUCUUCCAGGCUGACCCCGACCAAAACUGGUGCCAGCCACCGAUUGCUGGACCUUCUUGCCGAGCUGGAUGGGUGUGAUAGUGUGGCGCAUCGACUAAUUUUCCAUCAACGUCUGUCUCACCCUUCUCACCGAGGUUUCCAACAGGAAAGAUAUUUCUGAUAUUGGUAAUAAUGAUGAAGUGUAGGAUCAAGUAGAAAGAGGCCUGUCAGAGAGAGGUUAGGAAAUGAUGUAGUUGAUUGUCAUUCAUUUGGCAGCCAGCUGAAAAAUAAAAGGUAUCCUUCAUUGACCUAUCUCAUAUACAUUAUGUGAUGAAACAAGCGUUACAUAGCUAUUAAGUCGAUGUAAUAUAAAAAGUGAGCUUUGAAUGCCUAAUGAUUCAGAUGGUCACAGAGUUAAUCCCUAUAUGAUAAUUCACCCCCUGCUUUGUAUCAUGGGUUCAGUUUAAACGAUCUUGUGGCUGCAGAGUUGAAACCUGAUUCAUAUGAUUUUUUUUUUGCCUCACUGUUGUGCUUAGUGCAUCGUAACUAAUUCAUUGUGUUGAGAGUAGAUUCUCUUUACCUGAUUUCAGAUAGAAAUUUACGGGAUGGCACCAAUGUGUAUGAAUGUGGAGAGCUUCAGCUCUCCAUUCCUGAUCGAUUACUGUUGCUUCAGUAAUGCUUUGAUGUUCGAAGGAGUUGUUAAUUCUUAUGUGGCAUUUUUUUAGCAGAAUUCCAACGUGAGGGGACUUGCAGCGGCAAUGAGAAUUGCAUCAUUCAUACAACUUUUUGUUACUUUCUUCUGUGAGAAAUGCUGAUCUUUUGCAACUCGAAACUCAGAAAUUUUCUGUUCAGUACAGGGUUUCAGUUUCAGUUCCUAUGUGCUUGCAUGAUGUGUGUUCAGUUCAGCACUAGAGUACAGUGCAAUUGUGUUUCAGUUAAGUUCAUGUGUCCGCAUGCUGUUUAUUUAAUUCAGUACAGGUUUUUGUCUUCAGUUCAGUGCAGGUUUUCAAUUUCAAUUACAACUGAACAAAAACAAGAAAAAGGUUUAUGGUCUACUAUUACAUUGAAGUAUGUCUCCCACUCAUGAUCCUAAUUCUCUGUUUAUAGCAGUCUACCAAUCUGCUUUGUUUCUAGCAGUUCAGUUUCAGUCUACUUUGCAAUCUUAAUUCUUUGAUCACAUAUAUUUAUUAGAAAACAAGUCUCUUUAUGCUUUGUGCAUACUUUUCCCAUUUUUGAUAUGACCAAGCUUGCACGAGUUGUAAGCCCCAUGGUUAAUAUCUCUAUAUCUUUAAUGCUACCACCAUGUAUUUUUAAAUAGUAAGUCACUGCAAUGGUUUUUUUGCAAACUUAUGUAGUAUAGUAAUUUAUUAUAGAUAGAGAUCUUUUUAAGUUGUUUAUUUAUGACUGAAAUGAAAUGGUGUACAUUGCUCCAUGCCUCCACUCGACCAGAUCAUGUAGGACUUACAACUCCUAGAACUUCAGGUAUUUCCAUAAUUUCAAAGUUGUUUUGAGUAGCAUGUUUUGCAUCAUUAGCCCUGGCCUAUACUUACAAUUUCUAAAAUUUCUAAGACAUAAUAUGUGCAAUCCUAUCACUCAAAGUGGCUCCAUGUGAAAGUUCACUCAAAGGCUGCGCAACAGGCUAGGUCUCUCUAUGAAUUUUACCAUCUUAUUUGCAGAAAACAAGGAAGCCGGGGGAGUGACUUCAAACAAGAAGAUAGGACAUCUGAGACAUCUGUCAACUCUGUAGCGUUUUCGAAGGAUGCUGAAGGGGCCCUCCAGGAAACAUGUCGUUAAUCAGAUUUUGGGAAUUAGUGUAUUGUUAUGCCUCUAUGAGGAAGUUCCUUAGAAGUUUCUUGAUACCCCUUGAUUCAGCGAUGUGUUAUCUUGAAGAUUUUUCAGAUAAAGACUUAAAACUACGUUGUGAUGGUAGUGUGUUCAGAAAUUAAUGUAUAGCUGGUGCAGUAUAAUAUUUAGUAUUGUUGGCUUCGAUGAU